GAUGAACGCUGGCGGCGUGCUUAACACAUGCAAGUCGAACGGAAAGGCCCAAGCUUGCUUGGGUACUCGAGUGGCGAACGGGUGCGUAACACGUGGGUGAUCUGCCCUGCACUUCGGGAUAAGCCUGGGAAACUGGGUCUAAUACCGGAUAGGACACCUUCUUGGGUGUUGUGGUGGAAAGUUUUUUCGGUGUGGGAUGAGCUCGCGGCCUAUCAGCUUGUUGGUGGGGUAAUGGCCUACCAAGGCGUAGACGGGUAGCCGGCCUGAGAGGGUGUACGGCCACAUUGGGACUGAGAUACGGCCCAGACUCCUACGGGAGGCAGCAGUGGGGAAGAUUGCUCAAGGGGCGCAAGCCUGAUGCAGCGACGCCGCGGGGGGGAUGACGGCCUUCGGGUUGUAGACUCCUUGCGCUAGGGACGAAGCGUUUUGUGACGGUACCUGGAGAAGAAGCACCGGCUAACUACGUG
rnacentral:rRNA from 1 species